rnacentral:rRNA from 1 species
AUUGAACGCUGGCGGCAGGCCUAACACAUGCAAGUCGAGCGGAUGAAGGGAGCUUGCUCCUGGAUUCAGCGGCGGACGGGUGAGUAAUGCCUAGGAAUCUGCCUGGUAGUGGGGGAUAACGUCCGGAAACGGGCGCUAAUACCGCAUACGUCCUGAGGGAGAAGGUGGGGGAUCUUCGGACCUCACGCUAUCAGAUGAGCCUAGGUCGGAUUAGCUAGUUGGUGGGGUAAAGGCCUACCAAGGCGACGAUCCGUAACUGGUCUGAGAGGAUGAUCAGUCACACUGGAACUGGGACACGGUCCAGACUCCUACGGGAGGCAGCAGUGGGGAAUAUUGGACAAUGGGCGAAAGCCUGAUCCAGCCAUGCCGCGUGUGUGAAGAAGGUCUUCGGAUUGUAAAGCACUUUAAGUUGGGAGGAAGGGCAGUAAGUUAAUACCUUGCUGUCUUGACGUUACCAACAGAAUAAGCACCGGCUAACUUCGUG